CCUACGGGGGGCUGCAGUGAGGAAUAUUGGUCAAUGGGCGGAAGCCUGAACCAGCCAAGUAGCGUGCGGGAUGAAGGCCCUACGGGUCGUAAACCGCUUUUGCACGGGGAUAACACCCUCCACUUGUGGAGGUCUGCAGGUACCGUGCGAAUAAGGGCCGGCUAAUUCCGUGCCAGCAGCCGCGGUAAUACGGAAGGCCCGAGCGUUAUCCGGAUUCAUUGGGUUUAAAGGGUGCGUAGGCGGGUUAUCAAGUCAGCGGUAAAAUCGUGGAGCUCAACUCCAUCCAGCCGUUGAAACUGAUGAUCUUGAGUGGGCGAGAAGUAUGCGGAAUGCGUGGUGUAGCGGUGAAAUGCAUAGAUAUCACGCAGAACUCCGAUUGCGAAGGCAGCAUACCGGCGCCCGACUGACGCUGAAGCACGAAAGCGUGGGUAUCGAACAGGAUUAGAUACCCCUGUAGUC
rnacentral:rRNA from 1 species